AGCAACAUGAGGUUAUAUGAUCUGAAGUAUCCGAUGUUGACACAUCCAUUCAUGGUCUUCAAAGUUCUCUGAUGGUU